rnacentral:rRNA from 1 species
UGGGGAAUAUUGCACAAUGGGGGAAACCCUGAUGCAGCGACGCCGCGUGAGCGAAGAAGGCCUUCGGGUCGUAAAGCUCUUUUAUGAGGGAAGAUAAUGACGGUACCUCAAGAAAAAGCCCCGGCUAACUACGUGCCAGCAGCCGCGGUAAUACGUAGGGGGCUAGCGUUGUCCGGAAUCACUGGGCGUAAAGGGUUCGCAGGCGGAAUAACAAGUCAGAUGUGAAAGGCAUGGGCUCAACCCAUGUAAGCAUUUGAAAAUGUAAUUCUUGAGAAGUGGAGAGGUAAGUGGAAUUCCUAGUGUAGCGGUGAAAUGCGUAGAUAUUAGGAGGAAUACCUGUGGCGAAGGCGACUUACUGGACACAAAUCUGACGCUGAGGAACGAAAGCGUGGGUAGCAAACAGG